rnacentral:rRNA from 1 species
ACGGGUGAGUAACACGUGGACAAUCCUGACCCCCCGGCCCGGGAUAGCCCAGGGAAACCUGGAUUAAUACCGGAUGAGACGGGACCCGCGAUGGCGGGACCCGGGAAAGGCGCUGCGGCGCCGCCGGGGGAUGAGUCUGCGUCCCAUUAGCUAGACGGCGGGGUAACGGCCCACCGUGGCGACGAUGGGUAGCCGGCCUGAGAGGGUGACGGCCACAUUGGAACUGAGACACGGUCCAGACUCCUACGGGAGGCAGCAGCUAAGAAUCUUCCGCAAUGGGCGAAAGCCUGACGGAGCGAACCGCCGCGUGAACGAAGAAGGCCGUGAGGUUGUAAAGUUCUUUUCGGGAGGGGGAACAACCGUGGCAGGGAAUGGCCGCGGGAUGACGUGAAUCCCGGAAUAAGCCCCGGCUAACUACGUGCCAGCCGCAGC